CGGGUAGGUGGUUUUGAAAGUCGGAUGUGAAAACCUCAGGGCUCAACCCGAGGCCUGCAUUCGAAACUUCUUUACUUGAGUACGGGAGAGGGAAGUGGAAUUCCUGGUGUAGCGGUGAAAUGCGUAGAUAUCAGGAGGAACACCGGUGGCGAAGGCGGCUUCUUGGCCCGUAACUGACACUGAACCGCGAAAGCUAGGGGAGCGAACG
rnacentral:rRNA from 1 species